rnacentral:rRNA from 1 species
UACGUAGGGUGCAAGCGUUGUCCGGAAUUAUUGGGCGUAAAGAGCUCGUAGGCGGUCUGUCGCGUCUGCUGUGAAAACUCAGGGCUUAACCCUGAGCUUGCAGUGGGUACGGGCAGACUAGAGUGCGGUAGGGGAGACUGGAAUUCCUGGUGUAGCGGUGAAAUGCGCAGAUAUCAGGAGGAACACCGGUGGGCGAAGGCGGGUCUCUGGGCCGA